rnacentral:lncRNA from 1 species
GCUUUGCGCUCUGUCCUCAUGGCCUAUAAAUAGCAUUUCAUAAAGCAGGUCUCUUCUGUGUCUUACUAGUCCCUUGAAUAAACUUUUUUUUUCUACAAAGAGAUAAAGGCAUGCAUCAGUCCUGCAGAAAGAGCUAGGUGGUACCUCACCAUUCUAGGCCACACAAUGCUAUGACGUCCCACACACUGCUCCCCACCCACCAUCCUGCAGCACAGCCAGCCCUGCCAGCAUCCUGGGCACCACCACGAGGCUCACCGUGCCUUUGUUGCACAGCCCUAAGCUUGAUUCUCAGGCAUUUGGAGUGGUUGAAGGUUCCAGCAUCACUGAAAUGCAGCAAGAAAACUGUUCCAGAGCCUUUCCCAACAGAACAUGGUCUUAACAGUAUCAGAAAUUCUUCAUGAAAGCAUAGUCCCAAACUGACCUUUUAAGGAAACUUGUGAUGAUUCAGGUAAGACUGGAAUGAAUAUCUCAGCUUUCAAGCAUCAUUUAUUUCUAGAAACAAACCUAAUA